rnacentral:rRNA from 1 species
UUUUACCUACGGGGCGCAGCAGUGAGGAAUAUUGGUCAAUGGGCGGAAGCCUGAACCAGCCACGUCGCGUGAGGGAAUAAGGCCCUACGGGUCGUAAGCCUCUUUUGCCGGGGAGCAAGGGCGGGGACGUGUCCCGGCCCGGAGAGUACCCGGAGAAAAAGCAUCGGCUAACUCCGUGCCAGCAGCCGCGGUAAUACGUAGAGGGCAAGCGUUAUCCGGAUUUACUGGGUGUAAAGGGAGCGUAGACGGCAAUACAAGUCGGAAGUGAAAUACCCGGGCUCAACCUGGGAACUGCUUUGGAAACU